GGUUAAGCGACUAAGCGUACACGGUGGAUGCCCUGGCAGUCAGAGGCGAUGAAGGACGUGCUAAUCUGCGAUAAGCGUCGGUAAGGUGAUAUGAACCGUUAUAACCGGCGAUUUCCGAAUGGGGAAACCCAGUGUGAUUCGUCACACUAUCAUUAACUGAAUCCAUAGGUUAAUGAGGCGAACCGGGGGAACUGAAACAUCUAAGUACCCCGAGGAAAAGAAAUCAACCGAGAUUCCCCCAGUAGCGGCGAGCGAACGGGGAGCAGCCCAGAGCCUGAAUCAGUGUGUGUGUUAGUGGAAGCGUCUGGAAAGGCGCGCGAUACAGGGUGACAGCCCCGUACACAAAAAUGCACAUGCUGUGAGCUCGAUGAGUAGGGCGGGACACGUGGUAUCCUGUCUGAAUAUGGGGGGACCAUCCUCCAAGGCUAAAUACUCCUGACUGACCGAUAGUGAACCAGUACCGUGAGGGAAAGGCGAAAAGAACCCCGGCGAGGGGAGUGAAAAAGAACCUGAAACCGUGUACGUACAAGCAGUGGGAGCCUCUUAAUGGGGUGACUGCGUACCUUUUGUAUAAUGGGUCAGCGACUUAUAUUCUGUAGCAAGGUUAACCGAAUAGGGGAGCCGAAGGGAAACCGAGUCUUAACUGGGCGUUAAGUUGCAGGGUAUAGACCCGAAACCCGGUGAUCUAGCCAUGGGCAGGUUGAAGGUUGGGUAACACUAACUGGAGGACCGAACCGACUAAUGUUGAAAAAUUAGCGGAUGACUUGUGGCUGGGGGUGAAAGGCCAAUCAAACCGGGAGAUAGCUGGUUCUCCCCGAAAGCUAUUUAGGUAGCGCCUCGUGAAUUCAUCUCCGGGGGUAGAGCACUGUUUCGGCAAGGGGGUCAUCCCGACUUACCAACCCGAUGCAAACUGCGAAUACCGGAGAAUGUUAUCACGGGAGACACACGGCGGGUGCUAACGUCCGUCGUGAAGAGGGAAACAACCCAGACCGCCAGCUAAGGUCCCAAAGUCAUGGUUAAGUGGGAAACGAUGUGGGAAGGCCCAGACAGCCAGGAUGUUGGCUUAGAAGCAGCCAUCAUUUAAAGAAAGCGUAAUAGCUCACUGGUCGAGUCGGCCUGCGCGGAAGAUGUAACGGGGCUAAACCAUGCACCGAAGCUGCGGCAGCGACGCUUAUGCGUUGUUGGGUAGGGGAGCGUUCUGUAAGCCUGCGAAGGUGUACUGUGAGGUAUGCUGGAGGUAUCAGAAGUGCGAAUGCUGACAUAAGUAACGAUAAAGCGGGUGAAAAGCCCGCUCGCCGGAAGACCAAGGGUUCCUGUCCAACGUUAAUCGGGGCAGGGUGAGUCGACCCCUAAGGCGAGGCCGAAAGGCGUAGUCGAUGGGAAACAGGUUAAUAUUCCUGUACUUGGUGUUACUGCGAAGGGGGGACGGAGAAGGCUAUGUUGGCCGGGCGACGGUUGUCCCGGUUUAAGCGUGUAGGCUGGUUUUCCAGGCAAAUCCGGAAAAUCAAGGCUGAGGCGUGAUGACGAGGCACUACGGUGCUGAAGCAACAAAUGCCCUGCUUCCAGGAAAAGCCUCUAAGCAUCAGGUAACAUCAAAUCGUACCCCAAACCGACACAGGUGGUCAGGUAGAGAAUACCAAGGCGCUUGAGAGAACUCGGGUGAAGGAACUAGGCAAAAUGGUGCCGUAACUUCGGGAGAAGGCACGCUGAUACGUAGGUGAAGCGACUUGCUCGUGGAGCUGAAAUCAGUCGAAGAUACCAGCUGGCUGCAACUGUUUAUUAAAAACACAGCACUGUGCAAACACGAAAGUGGACGUAUACGGUGUGACGCCUGCCCGGUGCCGGAAGGUUAAUUGAUGGGGUUAGCGGUAACGCGAAGCUCUUGAUCGAAGCCCCGGUAAACGGCGGCCGUAACUAUAACGGUCCUAAGGUAGCGAAAUUCCUUGUCGGGUAAGUUCCGACCUGCACGAAUGGCGUAAUGAUGGCCAGGCUGUCUCCACCCGAGACUCAGUGAAAUUGAACUCGCUGUGAAGAUGCAGUGUACCCGCGGCAAGACGGAAAGACCCCGUGAACCUUUACUAUAGCUUGACACUGAACAUUGAGCCUUGAUGUGUAGGAUAGGUGGGAGGCUUUGAAGUGUGGACGCCAGUCUGCAUGGAGCCGACCUUGAAAUACCACCCUUUAAUGUUUGAUGUUCUAACGUUGGCCCCUGAUCGGGGUUGCGGACAGUGUCUGGUGGGUAGUUUGACUGGGGCGGUCUCCUCCUAAAGAGUAACGGAGGAGCACGAAGGUUGGCUAAUCCUGGUCGGACAUCAGGAGGUUAGUGCAAUGGCAUAAGCCAGCUUGACUGCGAGCGUGACGGCGCGAGCAGGUGCGAAAGCAGGUCAUAGUGAUCCGGUGGUUCUGAAUGGAAGGGCCAUCGCUCAACGGAUAAAAGGUACUCCGGGGAUAACAGGCUGAUACCGCCCAAGAGUUCAUAUCGACGGCGGUGUUUGGCACCUCGAUGUCGGCUCAUCACAUCCUGGGGCUGAAGUAGGUCCCAAGGGUAUGGCUGUUCGCCAUUUAAAGUGGUACGCGAGCUGGGUUUAGAACGUCGUGAGACAGUUCGGUCCCUAUCUGCCGUGGGCGCUGGAGAACUGAGGGGGGCUGCUCCUAGUACGAGAGGACCGGAGUGGACGCAUCACUGGUGUUCGGGUUGUCAUGCCAAUGGCACUGCCCGGUAGCUAAAUGCGGAAGAGAUAAGUGCUGAAAGCAUCUAAGCACGAAACUUGCCCCGAGAUGAGUUCUCCCUGACUCCCUGAGAGUCCUGAAGGAACGUUGAAGACGACGACGUUGAUAGGCCGGGUGUGUAAGCGCAGCGAUGCGUUGAGCUAACCGGUACUAAUGAACCGUGAGGCUUAACCUU
rnacentral:rRNA from 1 species